rnacentral:rRNA from 1 species
UACGUAGGUGGCAAGCGUUGUCCGGAAUUAUUGGGCGUAAAGCGCGCGCAGGCGGUCCUUUAAGUCUGAUGUGAAAGCCCACGGCUCAACCGUGGAGGGUCAUUGGAAACUGGGGGGACUUGAGUACAGAAGAGGAAAGUGGAAUUCCACGUGUAGCGGUGAAAUGCGUAGAGAUGUGGAGGAACACCAGUGGCGAAGGCGACUUUCUGGUCUGUAACUGACGCUGAGGCGCGAAAGCGUGGGGAGCAAACAGG